rnacentral:lncRNA from 1 species
GGGGUCUAUAGGGGAUUUAUGGGGGGUCUAUAGGGGAUCUAUAGGCCAGGGGAUCUGGGCAAUAUCCGGAGUGGUUUCUGGGGAUAUCCGAAACCUAUGGCCGCUAUAGGGGACUGGGGGGGGGGGGUUGGGGGGGUUAUGGGGGGGUUGGGGGGGGGGGGGGGGUCUGGGGGGUCUAUAGGGGAUUUUUGGGGUCUGUAGGGGAUUUUUGGGGGGAUUUGGGCCCUAUAUGGGACCUAUGGAGGGUUGGAGGGAUCUGUAGGGGAUUUUGGGGAGGAUUUUAGGUAUUUGGGCCCUAUAUGAGGUCUGUAGGGGAUUUUUGGGAUUUGGGAGGGGGGUUGGGCCCUAUAUGGGACCUAUGGGGGCAUUUUUGGGGUCUAUAGGGGAUUUUUGAGGGGGUUUGGGCCCUAUAUGGGACCUAUGGGGGGUUCAGGGGUCUAUAGGGGAUUUUUGGGGGUUAUUUGGGCCCUAUAUGGGACUUAUGGGGGGGUUCAAGGGGUCUGUAGGGGAUUUUUGGGGUCUAUAGGGGAUUUUUGGGAGGGAUUUGGGCCCUAUAUGGGACCUGUGGGGUCUGUAGGGGAUUUGGGGGGGAAUUUUUCGUUCCAUAGGGGAUUUUUGGGUGGGGUGGGCCCUAUAUGGCAGCUAUAGGGGAUUUUGGUGGGGGGAGGGGGGAUUUUGCGGUCUAUGGGGGAUUUUGGGGGGGGGGAUUUUCGGUCUAUAGGGGAUUUUUGGGUGGAUUGGGACCUCUAUGGGACCUAUGGGGGCAUUUUUGGGGUCUGUAGGGGACUUUGAGGGGAGUUGGGCCCUAUAUGGGACCUAUGGGGGGGUCUGUAGGGGAUUUGGGGCUCUGCAUGGGACCUAUGGGGUCUAUAGGGGAUUUGGGCCCUAUAUGGGACCUAUGGGGUCUAUAGGGGAUUUUGGGGUCUGUAGGUGCUGCCCAGCCCGACCCAGGGCUCUUUGGGGGGAUCUAUGGGGGAUCCAUAGGGGAUUCCCGGGGGAAUCCAUGGGGGAUCCAUAUGGGGGAUCCAUAUGGGGGAUCCAUAGGGGAUUCCCGGGGGAUAUAGGGGGGAUCUGUCAGGGAUCCGUAGGGGAUUCUAUGGGGGAUCCAUGGGUGAUCCAUGGGGGAU